GUAAGCACAGUCGAGUGUGAUAAUAAUAUUGAUUAAAUUCUGAAGCAACGACUGUUUACGUAGGAAUUCAGCAAACAAACCAAUCUGCGAACUGAGAUGCCGGCUACACAUUAUCGCGAAACAGUCCGACAAACUUGACAGUUUCGGCAUGCAUUGCUGGUUUUUCAUUGCAGGAACCUACCGGCCAAAUUUCAGCUUCCUACGCGCAGUGGUUUCGGCUGUAUGUCGUCUGUCAAUCAGUUAGUCACUCAGUAACGGAAGAAUUUUAUAUAUAUUGUAAG